rnacentral:pre_miRNA from 1 species
UUAACUCAAAUUUGUAUGAAGCUGGAACGUUUGUCUACGUUCGCCGCUGGGGGCGCUGUUAAAACACCAUACAAAUUUGAGUUA